rnacentral:pre_miRNA from 10 species
CGGACAGCCGGCCCCGCCCACCCAGUGUUCAGACUACCUGUUCAGGGGGUUCAGAAUGUGUACAGUAGUCUGCACAUUGGUUAGGCUGGGCUCGGGUAAGCG